rnacentral:rRNA from 1 species
CGCGCAGGCGGUCCUUUAAGUCUGAUGUGAAAGCCCACGGCUCAACCGUGGAGGGUCAUUGGAAACUGGGGGACUUGAGUGCAGAAGAGGAGAGUGGAAUUCCACGUGUAGCGGUGAAAUGCGUAGAGAUGUGGAGGAACACCAGUGGCGAAGGCGACUCUCUGGUCUGUAACUGACGCUGAGGCGCGAAAGCGUGGGGAGCAAACA